UUUAUAAUACUUGAGGAUUACCAGCAAAUUGAAAUAAAUAGAUUAUUGUAUACAAAGACACAAUCAUCAUCAUUUUUUGAGGAGUGUCAUUUGCAGAUGACAUUGUUGAUCCCAGUCUCUUUUAAUAAGGUAGAUUCAAGGCUCAUCAGAUUUGCAUUUGGUGGUUGCCCCCAAAUCUACUUUAUAAAUAUUAAGUGGAAGUAGUCAGGGCCAUGAUGAAAAAAGUUUCAUCUCAGGACAAGAUGAAGGCGGCAGCAUUAACAUUGAAACUGAAUUUCAGGGACAUGUUCUUGUUUCCAUAGGCAAAGAGAGAAGUUUCAUCCAGGGCUCUGCCUCCCACCACAUUUGCACCCAGUCUGCUUACCUCCUGGCUUCUUCUCUGCAGAGGGCCUGCCUUUAGUGACCACAGGGUGGUGCUAGAGAAGUGGGCAGAGGCAGAGAGGCAAGGGCUCCUCCCAGAACCACCCCUUCUGGGUUAACAGCUGGGUUGUCUUCUCAGGCAACUCCUCCAUUACUUCUCCCUGCCUGUGACUCAGUCAGGAGGAUCAGCUCCAGGUCCCUGUUGGAAGGGUCACUUCCAUUGUGAGUAGGAUUUGAGUUUUGAAAGGUAUUUCUUCUCAUCUUAUCAUCUGGUCCUUUUCCAUGCAAGCCCCAGGGAAGAAGGCAUGCUGUGGGCCCUAGCCCUACUUCUAGCCACCCUGCCUCCUGGCAGUCAAACAUCUUCCAGUUUGGAAGGAAGAAUGAUGUCACUCAAGAGAACAACUGGGUCCACUGCAGUAAUUACUUGUGAUUUUGCUGAAGAAAGAAAUUUCAUCCACUGGUACCAAUUCAAGGAGGGGAAGGCCCCUCAACACCUUCUCUUCCAUGACUUUUACAAUUCCAAGAUUGUGAUGGACUCAGGACUCGAUCCAGUGAAAUACCACGUGUAUGAAGGCACAGGCCAGAGAUAUAAAUUCAUAGUGCGAAAUCUGGAAGAGAGUGAUUCUGCUGAGUAUUACUGUGCCUACUGGAGUGCCUGUCACAGUGAUUCAAAUCUGCUCUGUACAGUACACAAAAUGUUACUUGUGGCUGCACAUGAGACACAAAAAAGACCAGCCCCCAUCUCACUUCCUGCUGCUGGCCUCACUGUUUGCUGAACAAAGUGAAACUCUGAGACCAAAAUCUAACCCCCAAAUGUAUGUGCUACUCCCCUCUCAUUAGCUUUAUCCUGAUGGAAAUCAUAUCCACAGGACAUUCUACCAUCACCAAAACUUGGCCAAAU